rnacentral:ncRNA from 1 species
CCCGUUAUCCUUUGACGAAAGCCCUGUCGCCCCCGGCAGGUGGAGACCCGAGGAGC